rnacentral:ncRNA from 1 species
UUUAAAACCAUGACAGGAAAUAGUACCAAAAUUACUUUCUAAAAGAGAGCCGGUGGCUGGUGUGAACCGGUGAAAGGAUUUUGGGGAUCCAUCCUCGAGUAAAGUAAGGAACCCCCAUGCGGGUCAGUAAUUACUUUCGGCAUUAGCCGUUAUCUAACUGAGUGAAAGGCAGGAAUCUGCUUUUAACUAGGGUGGCAACGCGGGUUAACUCUCGUCCCUUUU